rnacentral:SRP_RNA from 1 species
GCCGGGUGCGGUGGCUCACGCCUGUCAUCCCAGCACUUUGGGAGGCUGAGGCGGGUGGAUCACCUGAGGUCAGGAGUUCGAGGCCAGCCUGACCAACAUGGUGAAACCCCGUCUCUA